rnacentral:tRNA from 1 species
GCCUUUGUAGUGUAGUGGUCAGCACGCUCGUCGCAUAACCGAGAGGCCCGUGAUUCGAUUCUCGGCGAAGACG